CCGAGGGCAUCUACAAGGAGUGCAGACACAAGAAAGCAGCAUCCAUCAUCAAGCAUUCCCACCAUUCAGGCCAUGCACUCUACUUGCCAUCAGGAUGGAGGUACAGAGGAGUCUUAAAUCCCACACCACCAGGUUAUCACUCUUCAACCAUCAGGCUCCUGAACCAGAGUGGAUAACUUCACUCUGAACUGAUUCCACAACCUAUGGACUCAUAUUCAAGGUCUCUACAAUAGGAAACCAGGGCAUGAGAAGGAAACCCAAUCAGUCAUAAAGAGAACAUGCAAACUCCACAAAGACAGCACCACGACUGAGCCCAGUUCGUUGGACCUGGGAGGCAGCAAUCUACUAAAUGCACCACUGAGUCCUGUGUUGUGGACAGAUUUGGACGGUCAUUGAAUUGCCUGAGGUUAAAUUCUCCAGCGCUGUGGCACAAUUCAAGCCUAGGUCUCUUGGACAAGCCUGGCCUCGUAUCUUAUCAGCAUCACCUCCAGAGCUCCGAGAGAGAUAAGCUUUCUGCUGACUUUGAUCAGCUGUGGUUUGUUGGUGGCAAUUUUUAAGUGAUCAACUGAAGGGAAGGAACCUUUGUGUUGCCGUGGCAACUUGUUAAAAGGUGGACUGGCACUAAAUCUCACACAAAGCUACAUCAUGUCCGACAGAGAGAAGAGCCACAGAUCUCUCUGGAGGUGAAAGGGUUCUGUUGAAGACGCUGACUUCGGUUCUUUGGGAGAAUAGACCCACUCUCGGGGUCUCUUGACUUGCUGUUAAGGACACAGCCUAGAAGAUUAGCUCGCCUUUGGAGUUCGGGGAUUUUGGGGGCCCUGGAGGCAGGUGGACUCGAGGUUGGUGCCUCUGUGGGAAAUCGGUGUGUCAUUGGAGGCGAAGAUCUCUGGCUAUGUGCUCAGAGACCCAAGUUCUUUGUGCACAGAGCUCAGAAAAAGCGACUCAAUGGAUUUUUGACAUUGUAAAUCCUCCAGUUGUUUGUUAUGUCUCCCCUCUUGCUGUGAAACUGAGACACCUCUUUUUCCCUUAUUAGGGAGAGAGAGAGCCUGUGGUAUGUUGAAUACUGGGUGAACGAGUAGUCUUUGGGGUACUGCUAGUCUGUGUCAUUAUUAAUGCUUUGCUGCACGCUUGAGUGCUUGUUGGG